GCCAUGGUGGCUUAGUGGUUAGCACGCUUGCCUCGCACGCCAAGGGCUUGGGGUUCAAGUCCCACCUCUGUGCG